rnacentral:piRNA from 1 species
UAGGUUCGUAAUCUUGGUUCCCCAGUGUC